UACGUAGGCCGCAAGCGUUGUUCGGAAUUACUGGGCGUAAAGAGCGUGUAGGCGGCUUGGUAAGUCCGCUGUGAAAGUCCAGGGCUCAACCCUGGAAAGCCGGUGGAAACUGUCAAGCUUGAGUCCGGAAGAGGCGAGUGGAAUUCCUGGUGUAGCGGUGAAAUGCGCAGAUAUCAGGAGGAACACCGGUGGCGAAAGCGGCUCACUGGACCAUAACUGACGCUGAUGCACGAAAGCUGGGGGAGCAAACAGG
rnacentral:rRNA from 1 species